rnacentral:rRNA from 1 species
CGUAUCACUUAAAGCGAUUCAGCGGAUGACGAUUGACGGAGCGAAGCGACGUCAAAGCGUAUACAAAGUCGAGUCGGUUUAAGGAUACGUUCGUUGGGUAGGGGAGCGUUCUGUAAGCCUGCGAAGGUGGCCUGUGAGGGUUGCUGGAGGUAUCAGAAGUGCGAAUGCUGACAUAAGUAACGAUAAAGCGGGUGAAAAGCCCGCUCGCCGGAAGACCAAGGGUUCCUGUCCAACGUUAAUCGGGGCAGGGUGAGUCGACCCCUAAGGCGAGGCCGAAAGGCGUAGUCGAUGGGAAACGGGUUAAUAUUCCCGUACUUGGUGUUACUGCGAAGGGGGGACGGAGAAGGCUAUGUUGGCCGGGCGACGGUUGUCCCGGUUUAAGCGUGUAGGUGUGUGUUCCAGGUAAAUCCGGUUCACUUUAACACUGAGGCGUGAUGACGAGGCACUACGGUGCUGAAGCAACAAAUGCCCUGCUUCCAGGAAAAGCCUCUAAGCAUCAGGUAACAUCAAAUCGUACCCCAAACCGACACAGGUGGUCAGGUAGAGAAUACCAAGGCGCUUGAGAGAACUCGGGUGAAGGAACUAGGCAAAAUGGUGCCGUAACUUCGGGAGAAGGCACGCUGACAUGUAGGUGAAGUGAUUUACUCAUGGAGCUGAAGUCAGUCGAAGAUACCAGCUGGCUGCAACUGUUUAUUAAAAACACAGCACUGUGCAAACACGAAAGUGGACGUAUACGGUGUGACGCCUGCCCGGUGCCGGAAGGUUAAUUGAUGGGGUCAGCGCAAGCGAAGCUCCUGAUCGAAGCCCCGGUAAACGGCGGCCGUAACUAUAACGGUCCUAAGGUAGCGAAAUUCCUUGUCGGGUAAGUUCCGACCUGCACGAAUGGCGUAAUGAUGGCCAGGCUGUCUCCACCCGAGACUCAGUGAAAUUGAACUCGCUGUGAAGAUGCAGUGUACCCGCGGCAAGACGGAAAGACCCCGUGAACCUUUACUAUAGCUUGACACUGAACAUUGAGCCUUGAUGUGUAGGAUAGGUGGGAGGCUUUGAAGUGUGGACGCCAGUCUGCAUGGAGCCGACCUUGAAAUACCACCCUUUAAUGUUU